AUUGAACGCUGGCGGCAGGCCUAACACAUGCAAGUCGAACGGUAACAGGAAGAAGCUUGCUUCUUUGCUGAUGAGUGGCGGACGGGUGAGUAAUGUCUGGGAAACUGCCUGAUGGAGGGGGAUAACUACUGGAAACGGUAGCUAAUACCGCAUAACGUCGCAAGACCAAAAAGGGGGACCUUCGGGCCUCUUGCCAUCGGAUGUGCCCAGAUGGGAUUAGCUAGUAGGUGGGGUAACGGCUCACCUAGGCGACGAUCCCUAGCUGGUCUGAGAGGAUGACCAGCCACACUGGAACUGAGACACGGUCCAGACUCCUACGGGAGGCAGCAGUGGGGAACAUUGCACAAUGGGCGCAAGCCUGAUGCAGCCAUGCCGCGUGUAUGAAGAAGGCCUUCGGGUUGUAAAGUACUUUCAGCGGGGAGGAAGGGAGUAAAGUUAAUACCUUUGCUCAUUGACGUUACCCGCAGAAGAAGCACCGGCUAACUCCGUG
rnacentral:rRNA from 1 species